UCAAAAGCUACAAAGUAUAUAACACUGAAACCAUAAUUGUUGAGGAAUAAAUUCAUGUUAAGUUUGAUGAUAAUUUUGACUCUUAAAAGUCAAAGAAAGUUGAAAAGUUUGCAGAUUUGGAAAUUAUCUAUUCAAAAUAUGAACACAAUGACUCUGAGGAUAAAGACUCUCAAAAUGCUCAAUAUGAAACUGAAUAAUCAGCCCUAUAAGUUGUUGGCACACCAACACCUCAGAGAAAGUAC
rnacentral:lncRNA from 1 species